rnacentral:rRNA from 1 species
UACGUAGGAGGCAAGCGUUGUCCGGAAUUACUGGGCGUAAAGCGCGUGUAGGUGGUGGGACAAGUCUGCUGUGAAAGCGCCUGGCUUAACCGGGCGAGGUCGGCGGAAACUGUCCGACUAGAGGACGGUAGAGGGGGGUGGAAUUCCCGGUGUAGUGGUGAAAUGCGUAGAGAUCGGGAGGAACACCUGUGGCGAAGGCGACCCCCUGGGCCGGCCCUGACACUGAGACGCGAAGGCGUGGGGAGCGAACGGG